rnacentral:rRNA from 1 species
AGUGGCGAACGGGUGAGUAAUGCAUCGGAACGUACCGUGUAGUGGGGGAUAACGUAGCGAAAGUUACGCUAAUACCGCAUACGCCCUGAGGGGGAAAGUGGGGGACCCCAAGGCCUCACGCUAUAUGAGCGGCCGAUGUCGGAUUAUCUAGUUGGGAGGGGAAAGGCCUACCAAGGGGGACGAUCCGUAACGGGUCUGAAAGGAUGAUCCCCCCCCCUGGGACUGAAAAACGGCCCAAACUCCCACGGGAGGCAGCAGUGGGGGAAUUUUGGAAAAUGGGCGCAAGCCUGAUCCAGCCAUGCCGCGGGGAGUGAAGAAGGCCUUUCGGGUUGUAAAGCUCUUUCAGACGGAAAGAAAUCUCUCGGGAUAACACCCUGGGAGGAUGACGGUACCGUAAGAAGAAGCACCGGCUAACUACGUGCCAGCAGCCGCGGUAAUACGUAGGGUGCGAGCGUUAAUCGGAAUUACUGGGCGUAAAGCGUGCGCAGGCGGUGAUGUAAGACAGAUGUGAAAUCCCCGGGCUCACCUGGGAACUGCGUUUGUGACUGCAUCACUCGAGUACACAGAAGGAAGGUAGAAUUCCGCGUGUAGCAGUGAAAUGCGUAGAUUAUGCGGAGAACACGAAUGGCGAAGCAGCCUCCUGGGGCAGUACUGACGCUCAUGCACGAAGGCGUGGG